AAACUUUCAACAACGGAUCUCUUGGUUCCCGCAUCGAUGAAGAACGCAGCAAAAUGCGAUAAGUAAUGUGAAUUGCAGAAUUUAGUGAAUCAUCGAAUCUUUGAACGCACAUUGCGCUCCUUGGUAUUCCGAGGAGCAUGCCUGUUCGAGCGUCAUUG
rnacentral:rRNA from 1 species